rnacentral:rRNA from 1 species
UAUUUAUUAGAUAAAAAACCAAUGCCCUUCGGGGCUCCUUGGUGAAUCAUAAUAACUUAACGAAUCGCAUGGCCUUGCGCCGGCGAUGGUUCAUUCAAAUUUCUGCCCUAUCAACUUUCGAUGGUAGGAUAGUGGCCUACCAUGGUAUCAACGGGUGACGGGGAAUUAGGGUUCGACUCCGGAGAGGGAGCCUGAGAAACGGCUACCACAUCCAAGGAAGGCAGCAGGCGCGCAAAUUACCCAAUCCCGACACGGGGAGGUAGUGACAAUAAAUACUGAUACAGGGCUCUUUUGGGUCUUGUAAUUGGAAUGAGUACAAUUUAAAUCCCUUAACGAGGAACAAUUGGAGGGCAAGUCUGGUGCCAGCAGCCGCGGUAAUUCCAGCUCCAAUAGCGUAUAUUAAAGUUGUUGCAGUUAAAAAGCUCGUAGUUGAACCUUGGGCCUGGCUGGCCGGUCCGCCUCACCGCGUGUACUGGUCCGGCCGGGCCUUUCCUUCUGGGGAACCUCAUGCCCUUCACUGGGCGUGUUGGGGAACCAGGACUUUUACUUUGAAAAAAUUAGAGUGUUCAAAGCAGG